GCAAUGAUAAAUCGGCGAUUCCAAGGGUCAUUCUGGAGAGAGGAUAUUAGAAGCUGUUUUCCACGCCACUGAUAUCCUUCGUUUCCUGAGCACAAUAGACCUUAACCAAUUGUGAAGGAAACCUCUGCAGUACAAAUAAGUUCCAGUCCUCUCUGUAGCAGGCCUUAACCAUGUUUCUGCUACUUUGAAAUCCUUCUGAGUUCGAUAAAUACGUAUCAUAAUAAUUGGGCGUCAUCAGCUUUUGCUGGCUCCUUCUGAGUCUGUAGCCCCAUGCAUGUCGGACCAUCAACAGCCAACUCCAGAUUUGUCUAGACAUAAUGAGUUUAGAGGAGUGAAGAACAGACUUUCGAAGUUGCAACUGGUAUUUCAAGCUCUUAAUCAAAUAGCGAUUGAGCUUCAGGUCGACGUGCUGAUGACAAUUGUGAGUCUACAUUUUCUAUGUAUCUUGUCCAUUUCCCUCGUCCAUCACGUCAUAAGCCUAGUUAGGUUAAAUCUAACCAUAAUCUAAAAUUUUGUUAUACUUAUUCUGUUUGUAUUAGCUUUGAAGCAAAGCUGUUGCUUUCAAUCUUGUCGCUCUGCAAGCACACGAGUACUCGCUCGUACUCGCUGGAAACAUGAUACUAGUGACGUGCUUUUUCGGAGCCUAUUUAAAAAUCCCUGCCUGAUAGUCUUGUUGUACAUAUACACAGCUAUCGUGUGAUAGAGUACCAUCUUGUGUGGAUAACCUGAUGUAGAGCAUUUUGAUCGCAGUCCAGGGAAGUCCAGUUCCACCCUGUCAGGCCUUUCGUAUACCUCUCCUCAGUUUUUUAACAGAGAGGCUUGAUUCUGCAGUAUGUAACUGGCCAGUCACACAAAUUUGUUAACACUACAAGCCGUACAUGUUCUGCGGCCACCUACAUAGUCACGGUCUCGAAGUGUCUCUUGGCUGUCCACAUCUUCAAUAUUUUGAACUCUCGAAUUGGCAUCGGUCUCUGUGUACGCAAAUAAAUUAGAAGUAUUGUAGGCGCUUCAUGUUUCAAUUAGAUUCUUUCAUGCACUAAUAGUUCUUAAGACUUGUGUCUCUGACUAUUCUUGAGACGCCAAUUAUGCAAUUAAUUAACUUGAUGUAUAAAGUGCGUUACCUCUCAAAAUUUCUCUACUUUAUCAUAGCGAAGUCUUUGUUUUCUUUAUUAUAUGCAGGAUACAAAUAUUUAAUCAUACAUCAAUGGGCUGGAGCUUUGCGAAGAAGAGCUUCAAUUGAUGUCUUGAUGUGCGACUUAUGACAUCAAUGUCAUACUCAAAGCAGAGGCGGUAUUAUGAGAACCUAGGUAAUAAACACCACAUUCCUCUCUCCGAUUUAGAAGCCACCCAGCACUAUGAACGAACUGUAUCUCUUAUAUCUCUAAACGCAUACUUCAAACCUAGCUGAUGGGAUACCUGGGUAGAUUUGGAUUCACCUUUGCUUUUCCAAACAACCUCGGGCUUUAUCAUGGAAUGUGUAACUUAGAUUCCUGCAUGCAGAAUUUCGUCAGUCAGACCUUUUUCCCUGGAAUAAAUAUAUUGUUGUCAGAAAUCAUGUUAACAUUCCUUAACAUGAUCUCAGACACCAGGCAUUAGAAUAUUGCAGCAUAAGAUAUCUGAGACCCUGUCAUAGUGGAAUUCUUUCUUCUGCCCUAUUGUGGAGCUGUCUCAGAACCUUCUAGGAGCUUGCGAGCUUGCCAUUUUGUUCUGAUUUGUCGAGUUGUGAGCUUGUUAUGAGUUUUGUGUCUCAGAUCAGUAACUUAUACAUUUACUACAUGGAUUGUACUCUCCCUUGGUAUACUGCGAAACCAACUUGCAAGGGUAUGCUGUGUCUUUGAAUUAGUAAGAACUUACCGACGAACUAGAAUCAAGUGUGAAUGCGUCUCUUCACUAGGUCGUCAAGGGUUCAACUUCGGGCGUGGACUUGAGUUCGGGAAUAAUUUUACUCGGGUAACAGAAGAGGUUAGUGAGCUAUACCCAAAAAGAUCAUGCAAACAAGCUGAUCAACUUUCCAAUGCAAUUAUAGUUUAGUAAGCCUCUACUGGCACACAAAUUCCUGGGUCAUCUAAUUCAUGUCUCAAACUGAGGUAGUACAUGAACUGCAACAGUAGUGUAACACCGAAUGCAAAUCUGGGUUCAGAAAACACGCCAUCAUGUGUUCUAUUCAUCCAAACGCAACUCAGCAGACGAUUUGAAGGUAAUUGGAGGCCCAAAAGGGAAAACUCAAAUCGCUAAUUCAGACGCUAUAGUAUACAAAGCAAUUCAGCAGCCGACAAUCCUGGC
rnacentral:lncRNA from 1 species